UACACCUAGCAUUAUAUCAAGUUUAUGUGAUCCAGUCCAGCUCGACGGGCGCGUCUCGUGGCUCGCAUGACCGGAUGUGUUCACACUACUAGUACUGUGAAGGCAGCGCGAGCGCGAGGUGUGAAGUGUGAACGGCGCUGCUGGCUCCAUGCCGCGACUAUCGUGGGCGCAUGCGCGCGUCUUUGUUCUGUUUUCUGAUGACGCCGCGGGGCGCGGAUGGCUACCACGCGUGGCCGCACAAGAAUCGACUCCCGGAGUCUCUCUCUUUUUUUUUUACGUUUGGAUGGGCCCCCUGUUUUUUUUCCUUCUCAUGACGCUCUUUUUCUUUGGUCAAACGAUGCUCGCGCCUUGCAACCAUGGUUUACCUGGACUGGCAAGUAAUCUAGUUUUGACGUAGUACUAGCUUUUACUCCGUAGUUGAGAGUGUAAAGCAACGUCUAAGAUUAUGUUGCCAACCAAGCAACGCCCGAAAUGCUAUAAACUGUAUUUUACGAGAGUAGUAGCUUCCUUUUGUGAUCAGCUAUUUAAAUUUGAUUUAGACAAGGAAGGGAGUAAUUAAAUUAAGUAGGGCCAACGGCAAAGACCAUUGAUGGCAUGCCAUUGUUUUCUCCCGCUAGUCAAUGCAUACCAAUAACGCUAGUCUUUUCCUGGCUGGAGUAACAAAUUGUUUAUUUUUGGCUUGCAUAUCCCUUUCAGAUUAGCCAAUGUAAAAACAGCUCUCCCGACUCAAAUGGUGCU
rnacentral:lncRNA from 1 species